rnacentral:rRNA from 1 species
GGAUUGAACGCUGGCGGCAUGCCUUACACAUGCGAGUCGAACGGCAGCACGGGAGCAAUCCUGGUGGCGAGUGGCGAACGGGUGAGUAAUACAUCGGAACGUGCCCAAUCGUGGGGGAUAACGCAGCGAAAGCUGUGCUAAUACCGCAUAAGAUCUACGGAUGAAAGCAGGGGAUCGCAAGACCUUGCGCGAAUGGAGCGGCCGAUGGCAGAUUAGGUAGUUGGUGAGGUAAAGGCUCACCAAGCCUUCGAUCUGUAGCUGGUCUGAGAGGACGACCAGCCACACUGGGACUGAGACACGGCCCAGACUCCUACGGGAGGCAGCAGUGGGGAAUUUUGGACAAUGGGCGAAAGCCUGAUCAGCCAUGCCGCGUGCGAGGAUGAAGGCCUUCGGUUGUAAACUGUACUUUGAACGGUAACGAAAGUCUCUUACUAAUAAAGACGGAUCGAUAGACGGUACGUAAGAAGUAAGCAACCGACUAACUACGU